rnacentral:rRNA from 1 species
AGUGAACGCUGGCGGCGUGCCUAAUACAUGCAAGUCGAACGAUGAAGUCCUAGCUUGCUAGGAUGGAUUAGUGGCGCACGGGUGAGUAAUAUAUAGUUAAUCUGCCCUACACAGAGGAACAACAGUUGGAAACGACUGCUAAUACCUCAUACUCCUAUUUGACAUAAGUUAAAUAGGGAAAGUCUUUUCGGUGUAGGAUGAGACUAUAUCGUAUCAGCUAGUUGGUAAGGUAAUGGCUUACCAAGGGUAUGACGCGUAACUGGUCUGAGAGGAUGAUCAGUCACAUUGGAACUGAGACACGGUCCAAACUCCGACGGGAGGCAGCAGGAAGGAAUAGUGAGCAAUGGGGGAAACCCUGACGCAGCAACGCCGCGUGGAGGAUGACACUUGUCGGAGCGUAAACUCCUUUUAUCAGGAAAGAAUAAUGACGGUACCUGAUGAAUAAGCACCGGCUAACUCCGUG